rnacentral:rRNA from 1 species
UUAGAACGCUGAAGAGAGGAGCUUGCUCUUCUUGGAUGAGUUGCGAACGGGUGAGUGACGCGUAGGUAACCUGCCUUGUAGCGGGGGAUAACUAUUGGAAACGAUAGCUAAUACCGCAUAACAAUGGAUGACACAUGUCAUUUAUUUGAAAGGGGCAAUUGCUCCACUACAAGAUGGACCUGCGUUGUAUUAGCUAGUAGGUGAGGUAACGGCUCACCUAGGCGACGAUACAUAGCCGACCUGAGAGGGUGAUCGGCCACACUGGGACUGAGACACGGCCCAGACUCCUACGGGAGGCAGCAGUAGGGAAUCUUCGGCAAUGGGGGCAACCCUGACCGAGCAACGCCGCGUGAGUGAAGAAGGUUUUCGGAUCGUAAAGCUCUGUUGUAAGUCAAGAACGAGUGUGAGAGUGGAAAGUUCACACUGUGACGGUAGCUUACCAGAAAGGGACGGCUAACUACGUGCCAGCAGCCGCGGUAAUACGUAGGUCCCGAGCGUUGUCCGGAUUUAUUGGGCGUAAAGCGAGCGCAGGCGGUUUGAUAAGUCUGAAGUUAAAGGCUGUGGCUCAACCAUAGUUCGCUUUGGAAACUGUCAAACUUGAGUGCAGAAGGGGAGAGUGGAAUUCCAUGUGUAGCGGUGAAAUGCGUAGAUAUAUGGAGGAACACCGGUGGCGAAAGCGGCUCUCUGGUCUGUAACUGACGCUGAGGCUCGAAAGCGUGGGGAGCGAACAGGAUUAGAUACCCUGGUAGUCCACGCCGUAAACGAUGAGUGCUAGGUGUUGGAUCC